rnacentral:rRNA from 1 species
UACAGAGGUCUCAAGCGUUGUUCGGAUUCAUUGGGCGUAAAGGGUGCGUAGGCGGCGCGGUAAGUCGGGUGUGAAAUCUUGGAGCUUAACUCCGAAACUGCAUUCGAUACUGCCGUGCUUGAGGACUGGAGAGGAGACUGGAAUUUACGGUGGUAGCGGUGAAAUGCGUAGAUAUCGUAAGGAAGACCAGUGGCGAAGGCGGGUCUCUGGACAGUUCCUGACGCUGAGGCACGAAGGCCAGGGGGAGCAAACGGG